UACGAAGGUCCCGAGCGUUAUCCGGAUUUAUUGGGUUUAAAGGGUGCGUAGGCGGGUUAUUAAGUCAGUGGUGAAAGCCUUCAGCUUAACUGAAGAAUUGCCAUUGAUACUGAUGAUCUUGAGUAUGAUUGAGGUGGGCGGAAUGUGUCAUGUAGCGGUGAAAUGCUUAGAUAUGGCACAGAACACCGAUUGCGAAGGCAGCUCACUAAGCCAUAACUGACGCUGAUGCACGAAAGCGUGGGGAGCAAACAGG
rnacentral:rRNA from 1 species